GACGAACGCUGGCGGCGUGCUUAACACAUGCAAGUCGAACGAAGAGCGAUGGAAACUUGCUUCUAUCAAUCUUAGUGGCGAACGGGUGAGUAACGCGUAAUCAACCUGCCCUUCAGAGGGGGACAACAGUUGGAAACGACUGCUAAUACCGCAUACGAUCUAAUCUCGGCAUCGAGGAUAGAUGAAAGGUGGCCUCUACAUGUAAGCUAUCACUGGAGGAGGGGAUUGCGUCUGAUUAGCUAGUUGGAGGGGUAACGGCCCACCAAGGCGAUGGUCAGUAGCCGGUCUGAGAGGAUGAACGGCCACAUUGGGACUGAGACACGGCCCAGACUCCUACGGGAGGCAGCAGUGGGGAAUCUUCCGCAAUGGACGAAAGUCUGACGGAGCAACGCCGCGUGAGUGAUGACGGCCUUCGGGUUGUAAAGCUCUGUUAAUCGGGACGAAAGGCCUUC
rnacentral:rRNA from 1 species